AAAACCCUGUAUUGUUCGUGAACUUAAAUAUUUCCUUGAGCCAACAUUAGUUUAUUGGGGACUUGGGGUUUGGCAGAGACUUAAGUGAUCUUUGUUAACAGAGUGCCCACUUAGAGUCAGAGCUCUAAGCGAAAUGUUAUUACGGCAGAUACAGGGUUUUU
rnacentral:other from 2 species